UCCCUGGUGGCUCAGACGGUAAAGCAUCUCUCUGCAAUGCAGGAGACCCGGGUUCGAUCCCUGGGUUGGGAA
rnacentral:tRNA from 1 species